CUUCACCGACCCCAGCCACAACGGCCGCUCAGGAUCACGCCCUUGCCCAUACGUCGCCAGCAGCGCCUCCGCCUC
rfam:Streptomyces sp. PVA 94-07 chromosome, whole genome shotgun sequence.